rnacentral:misc_RNA from 1 species
GAACAAUGAUUCCUUCCGCAGUGUACGCUUAUCGAAGCCUUUGCAGCCACGCAAGUGGUAGGUCCAGACGACUGUAAACAAGCUGGUACCGGUGCAAGUCGCGCCUCCCGUCUUGGGAGGUGUUGGCGACACUUUUGAAUUGCGGGGAUACCCUAAAGCCGAUCGCACCAACCUGCACGGGAAACUGCGCUGGGGCCCAUGGACACACCAUGGGGGAUGGUAACAGCCGAUUCGGAUAGUUCUGCCUUAGGCAGAUACAAUGGGCAAUCCGCAGCGAAGCCCCUAAAUCCUUUGGGACACGGGGAACGUUCACAGACUAAGUGGAAGUGGGUGGGGUUCUCAAUCCUGCUUAAGAUAUAGUCGGGCUCCCCGGGAGACUGGGGAGGCAAGUACACUGUACUGGGGGUUUCUACUGAGAGACAUCGUGGGAGUUGGGCACACUGAGUCAUGUGAUGUAGAUAUAUAUAUCCUAUGAUAUUGGUAUGCUAUUCUUCCCACAGCGCUAUACAGCAGUCACACCGGCGCCCAUGCAGCAAUGCACAGGGGCCAUUCGAUUCCAACAGGAAUCGGCGAAAGUCAUCGUCCGACCAUGAUGGGUGCCCAAAGGCGCCCACAGACCAC